AGGAGACGCUGGCGGCGUGCUUAAUACAUGCAAGUCGAGCGGUGAACCCGACUGAAAGCCUUCGGGCUUGACGUUGGGGGAUCAGCGGCGGAUGGGUGAGUAACGCGUGGGUACCUGCCCUAAAGUCUGGGAUAACAACUCGAAAGGGUUGCUAAUACCGGAUGUGACCGAGAGGUUAAAGGCAGAGAUGUCGCUUUAGGAUGGGCCCGCGUCCCAUUAGCUAGUUGGUGAGGUAAGGGCUCACCAAGGCUGCGAUGGGUAGCCGGCCUGAGAGGGUGGACGGCCACACUGGGACUGAGACACGGCCCAGACUCCUACGGGAGGCAGCAGUAGGGAAUUUUCCGCAAUGGACGGAAGUCUGACGGAGCGACGCCGCGUGGGGGAAGAAGGCCUUCGGGUUGUAAACCUCUGUCUUCAGGGACGAAGAGGGUGUGGGAGACACACCGAAGCCGGUACCUGAGGAGGAAGCCCCGGCUAACUACGUG
rnacentral:rRNA from 1 species